UGCCCAGCAACUCCUAUCCCUACCUCCACGCGGUAUCGGCCGGAAACUAUGAGCAACCUUAGGGAAGA
rnacentral:ribozyme from 1 species